rnacentral:rRNA from 1 species
GGAAGUAAAAGUCGUAACAAGGUCUCCGUAGGUGAACCUGCGGAGGGAUCAUUAAUGAGUGAGGGGGCCACCCCCAACCUCCAACCCUUUGUGAACGCAUCAUGUUGCUUCGGGGGCGACCCUGCCGUUCGCGGCAUUCCCCCCGGAGGUCAUCAAAACACUGCAUUCUUACGUCGGAGUAAAAAGUUAAUUUAAUAAAACUUUCAACAACGGAUCUCUUGGUUCUGGCAUCGAUGAAGAACGCAGCGAAAUGCGAUAAGUAAUGUGAAUUGCAGAAUUCAGUGAAUCAUCGAAUCUUUGAACGCACAUUGCGCCCUGGUAUUCCGGGGGGCAUGCCUGUUCGAGCGUCAUUUCACCACUCAAGCCUCGCUUGGUAUUGGGCGUCGCGAGUCCUCGCGCGCCUCAAAGUCUCCGGCUGUUCGGUUCGUCUCCCAGCGUUGUGGCAACUAUUUCGCAGUGGAGUUCGAGUCGUGGCGGCCGUUAAAUCUUUCAAAGGUUGACCUCGGAUCAGGUAGGGAUACCCGCUGAACUUAAGCAUAUCAAUAAGCGGAGGA